GAAAUGCGAUACUUGGUGUGAAUUACAGAAUCCCGUGAACCAUCGAAUCUUUGAACGCAAGUUGCGCCCGAAGCCUUUUGGUCGAGGGCACGUCUGCCUGGGCGUCACGCAUUGCGUCUCCCCCAACCCACCUCGUGUGGGACGAGGGGAGGAGGAUGGCUUCCCGCGCCUCACCAGGCAUGGCUGGCCUAAAAAAGGAGCCUCAGGUUAUGCACUACUACGACAAUUGGUGGUAGACAAGGCCUUGGCCUCGAAUGCAAUCUCGUGUCGUACAGUACAUGGCAAUUGUGGGCUCGUAGGACCCUGAGUUGUUCCCAAUUGGAAACAAACCAUUGCGACCCUAGGUCAGGCGGGGCUACCCACUGAGUUUAA
rnacentral:misc_RNA from 1 species